rnacentral:rRNA from 1 species
CUACGGGAGGCAGCAGUGGGGAAUAUUGGACAAUGGGGGAAACCCUGAUCCAGCAAUGCCGCGUGUGUGAAGAAGGCCUGCGGGUUGUAAAGCACUUUCGGUUGGGAGGACUGCUUCUAGCACUAAUAUUGUUGGAAGUUGACGUUACCUUCAGAAGAAGCACCGGCUAACUCCGUGCCAGCAGCCGCGGUAAUACGGAGGGUGCAGGCGUUAAUCGGAAUUACUGGGUGUAAAGCGCGCGUAGGCGGCUAGAUCAGUCGGGUGUGAAAGCCCCGGGCUUAACCUGGGAACUGCAUCCGAUACUGUCUAGCUUGAGUACAGGAGAGGAGAGUGGAAUUCCACAUGUAGCGGUGAAAUGCGUAGAUAUGUGGAGGAACACCAAUGGCGAAGGCAGCUCUCUGGCCUGAUACUGACGCUGAGGUGCGAAAGCGUGGGGAGCAAAUAGGAUUAGAUACCCCUGUAGUC